ACAGCAGCAGCCGCGGGAAUACGGAGGGUGCAAGCGUUAAUCGGAAUUACUGGGCGUAAAGCGUGCGUAGGCGGUUCGUUAAGUCUGUUGUGAAAGCCCCGGGCUCAACCUGGGAAUGGCAAUGGAUACUGGCGAGCUAGAGUGUGUCAGAGGAUGGUGGAAUUCCCGGUGUAGCGGUGAAAUGCGUAGAGAUCGGGAGGAACAUCAGUGGCGAAGGCGGCCAUCUGGGACAACACUGACGCUGAGGCACGAAAGCGUGGGGAGCAAACAGGAUUAGAUACCCCAGUAGUCCCUGUCUCUUAUAC
rnacentral:rRNA from 1 species